CCCUAUAUCUUAAAAAAAAAAAAAAAACAAACCAACCAUCUUGUUUUUGAUUGUCCAAGAAAUUUGGGAUUAACCCCAAACCUGGUUUAUCCUAAAGCUUAUUAUUGAAAUUCCUAGUUACCAUUUCAGUUUUAUCAUUAUGAACAGUUUAUAAAUCAUUUCUUGAAUUAGUACUAUCAAUGCCAUUCCAUUUAUGCUGUAAAAGCUCACUUAUUAGUGAUUUCUAAUUUCACAGGGUUGACCGAUUUUUGGAAACUUUUUUGUAGUACCAUUUUUUCAAAACUAUCAAAAUUUUUUGGAUAAUUUGUACUGAUCUUUAACAUAAACAGAGUAUUAGCUGACAUCAUGAUAAAUUAUGACUGAUUAUUUUUGAAACUUGACCUUCUUGACCUUGAUAUCAAGCAAAGUAUAAUUUCCCCUUGACUAUGGUCUAUAUUUUUAUAUGAUUUUUAUAGCUAACUAUUGUUAUAAUGUAUUUAUCUCAAUUUUUAGGAGUGUAUUUCCUUAUUCUUAAGAUAUCCACUAAAAAGUAAAAAGUUACCUACAUUCAUAUAAUUUUGCUUAAAAUUAUAAACAUGAUUAUUACAUAGAUUUUUAAAAAAUCCAGUAUUCUUUUUCCUUUCUUUUCUGUCUGGGAUUAGAUUUCUCCAUCAUUCUGCUCUCUGCACCCAUUAUAUCAGCUCCUUCACCUUCCUCCAGAUACUGCAAUAUAAUAACUUAGUGUAAACCACUCUAAUAAAUCAACCUGCACUUUGCCUUGCAUUCAUGGAAUACUACACUGACAUGUAUAUGUGUACAGGAUUUCUAAAUACCAGGAUUUCUCUUUCUUUCUCCAAAAGUAUGAUUUUAUGUAUAUUUUUCUGCUUCUUGCUUUCUCACUCAAUAGUAUCCUUUGGGAAUCUGUCUAAAUCAUCUGACAUAGCACUUUGUUAUUUAUGAUGGCUCCAUAAUAUUCUGUUCUGUGAUGUGUCGCUCAGCAAUUCAUAUAUUGAUGGGAAUUCAUUUUGUUUCUGUGCUUAAGUUCUGAUAAAUUUUGCAAUAAUCAUGUCUAUAGGCAUGUUCUCACCAACUGGUUUUUAUGUCUAUGAGAUAGAUUUCCAAGAGUGAGAGUUCUGUGUUAAAGGGUAUAUGUACUUUUAAUUUUAAUAGAUCUCUACACUGCUCCCCUUAAAGGCUGAAAUAUUUCAAACGUCUAGCAAUACAUGAGAGCACACCUUUUCUCACAUUUCCACCAGUAAAAAGUUCUGUAGCUCUACUCAUUUUUCCCCCUGGGCUUAUGGGUGAAAUAUGGUAUCUCAUUGUCACUUUAGUUUUUAUUUCCCUGAUUACUAUCAAUUUGAGCCUUUUAUUAUAUAUCUGUUGUCCAUUUGGAUUUGCUGUCAAAUUUGGUACACCACUAAAUUGUGUGUGUGUGUUCCUAGUUUGUGAAUAAAUUAUAAAAGGUAUUUUACAUAUAUAUAUAUAUAUAUGGAUAUAAUGGAUAUUAGCAUUUAUUUAACUGAUUUUAUUUUGUUCCUUAACUUUGGUUAUUGUAUUUUUGGUACAUAAUUUUUAUGCAGUCAAAUUUGGCAAAUACAUAAAAUACCAAAAAAUAGUAAAAACGAUCUAUAAUCUCAAUAUGCCUUUUUCUCCCUUUUUGAGGUGUAAAUAAUGGAAGUCUCUCCCUUUGUUCCCCCCAAAUCCUAUGGCUCCAGAAAUACUACAGUCAAUAUUUUGGUAUGUGGACUUCCGGUUUUUAAUUCAUGCAUAAAGAAAUAUAUCUAAGUCCUUAUUGUAAAGAAGAGAUGGUAUUAUGAAAUGUCGGCUUUUUUUGGUCCCUUCAGUUCCUUAUUUUACUCAACUACUCCCUCAUCCUUGCUAAGUUCUUAGCAAGUUCCACACAAGUUCUUAGUAGGAAUAACGAGUCUGGAAAAAUUCUUGUCCGUUUACAUUUUUUGCUCCUUUGAUAUAGGAUGAGAAAUAAUGACUUUUCCUGGUCUGAGAUUUAAACAAAAAGAAUCAGAGAGGAACCAACGCUUGACUGUGGGUCUUUGAGACCCACAGAAGUUGACCUUGAAUUCUGGCCCUUCCCCUUUAGGUCAGACAGCCUUCCUGAGGGGAUAAAGCCCUCAGGCAUGUUUGGUGAUCUGAGGACAAGUACUUCAGCAUCACCAGCAGUAAUUAGGGAGGCAGACGCUUCCCUGGAUUGAGUGGAGUCAUUCGUAGUGCUACUGCUUAGCAUGAGGAAGCUUGUUUGUGGACACCUGAGUUGGUGGCUUAUGCCCUGUGUCAGUCUCUCAGCAGUAGAGACCUUGGCUGCAGAUAUUUCUGAAGGAAGUCAGGUCAGAGAAAAAAAGAGAACGACAGAUGACCAAUGACAGUCAGCAGGCUGUGUCCCUUCUACAGGAGACAUCCCUGGGAGCCAUUUAAAAGAUCAAUGGUCCCACAAUAGCAAAUGGGCACACAAACUAGUAAUACGAUCCCCAUUUAAAACGUCCAGGCUAGGGGAGCCUGGCUGGCUCAGCUAGUGGAACAUGCCAACUCUUGAUCUUGGGGUUGUUGAGUUGGAGCCCCAUGUUGGGUGUAAAGAUUACUUAAACAAACAAACAAAUGUAGAAAAAAUCUCCAGGUUAGUGUGGCAUGCAGAAAGAGAAAAUAGAGAGAGAACACUUAUUAGUGCUCAAAGAAAUAAAAUUUAAACAAUGAAAUAUAACACUCUUCAUGUUUCAAAUUGGCAGACACCAAGCAAAAGCCAUAUUCAGUUCUUUCUAGUGUGGGCAAUUCUUCUAUACCGCCGCUAUUACAUACAUUGGCACACAUUUUCUGGAUGGCAAUUUGAGAGUAUAUAAAAAGAUUCUCAUGUAAUCAUUCUAUCACUUGAAAUCUAAGAAAUUAAUCAAUGAAGCAACACAAAUAUUUAUCUCCACAGAUACUCGUCUCAACAUCGUUUAUCAAAGCAAAAGUCAGAAAUAAACGAAAUGGACCAUCACCGUACAUUUUCUCCAUUUUUUCUCAUCAUUUCUACAUUUUCUCUAAUAAGCGUACAUUACUUUUGUAAAGGGAAAAAUAAUAAUUAGAAAAUAAAAAAUCAUUAGGCAGUUUGGGUGUUCAUAUCAAAGUACAACAAAAUAUGGAUCACUUCCGAAUCACAUGGCCAUGAGCUGAAUGACUAAUGUAAGUCCAUUGCCAAGACAAGACAAAAAUGUUGUUCUUCAGGGCGUUUAUUUAGACAGACAUGUAUACGAUAAGUUUAUUUUCAGUAAUCACAACAAAAUUAGAGAAAUUUUCCACCCAUCCAAUUUUCCAUUCACAAAACUGUCCCAUUUUAACUGUGUAGAACAUUAAGAUGCAAACAAUGCAAUGUUGUUUCUUAAGUAAACUCAGAAAAUGUGUUUGGAUCUCCAUGAACUUUCUACAUGUAAGGGAAAUAAAAAAUGUUAAAUUCUUACAUAAAAAGAGGAAGGGGAAUGAGAGAAAGGGAACCUAACCUGAUAUUUAAAAGAUAAAGAUGUGGGGUGCCCGGGUGGCUCAGUCAGUUAAGCGUCCGACUUCCGCUCAGGUCAUGAUCUCCUGGCUCGUGAGUUUGAUAAUCACUUUUAUUGUGUUAAGCUACAGGGAUUUGGGGGUUAUUUAUCAAAACAGAUAGUAUUACUUAGUCUAACUAAAAUGGUUGCUAUAUAUGAGUUGGCAUUUCCUUCAGAAAAAAUGGGGACUGGGGCGCCUGGGUGGCGCAGUCGGUUAAACGUCGGACUUCAGCCAGGUCAUGAUCUCGCGGUCCGUGGGUUCGAGCCCCGCGUCAGGCUCUGGGCUGAUGGCUCAGAGCCUGGAGCCUGUUUCUGAUUCUGUGUCUCCCUCUCUCUCUGCCCCUCCCCCGUUCAUGCUCUGUCUCUCUCUGUCCCAAAAAUAAAUAAACGUUGAAAAAAAAAUUUUUUUAAAAAGAAAAAAUGGGGACAAAUAAUGUUUAUCACAUUAGGGCUUUUGUGGGAAUUAAAAUAAUGUGAACACAAUGCCUUGCAUAUGGUAGUUAUUCAGUAGCUAUUAUCACUGUCGUUCAGUAGAUAUUAUCACUGUCAUCUUUAUCAUUUUAUUAUAAUUCUUUCCUCUUCCCUGGAAAAAUGCAUUCUUCUCUCUCCAUUGUUCAUAGUGACACUUUUGGCAGAAUCGGAAAACCUCUUUUUUGUUCAUUAGAGCUGUUACAGUAUUCAUAAGGUUUUUAAAGGAUUUGAAGGGUUCUCUAUUGACAAAGCCUGUGGAAAUUUUUGUGAUGGCUACAGUGAUUUGAUUCUUCAAAUAACUCCAUAUCCUGCAAGUAAUUAUUUCUUUCUUAAUAGAAUCUCUAAGUGAGUUUUGGUAUGGUUUUAUGGGUCACAAAAUGAUGCAUUAAUUCUCCUUGGAAACUUAAUUCAGUGACUCCAUUUGCAGUGGUAUUAAAGCCCUAGGGCAGCUACAGAGAAAGACCACUUUUUAUAACAUUUACUAACAAUUAUUUGGGGUAAACUGGGCUUAUGUCUUUUUUUCUUAUUCUGCCUAGAGAUUCAACUUUUUACCUUGUUCUGUUAGAUGAACACUGCUCACUGGGGUUAUUGAAUUCUAUGAUUAUUUUAUUUUGUCUGAAUUUAUCCAUCAUACUUUUUUUCCCCCCUCUUCUGGAAACUGAUCAACAGCUAAGAACGUGAGCAGAGUCCAAAUAGGGGAAGCAAAAUUCAACCUGCUGAAUCUCAUUAGCAGAUUGCUCGUGCCUUCUGCAUCUUGGAAACACAUCAUUCCAAAGCGUGUGGGGAAGCUGUUCAUUGUUCCAAGGGAAGGUACGCCUGUGGAUAUGGCAGUCUUGGGGUACUUACCCAGGAAUUAUUUCUUCGUUUCUUUAUUAAACUUUAUUUAUUUAUUUUUAAAGAGAAAGAGAGAGAGAGAGAGAGAGAGAGAGGCAGAGAGAGAGGGAGAGAGAAUCCCAAGCAGGCUCUGCACUAACAGUGUAGAUAUGGGGCUCGAACUCACAAAUCACGAGAUCAUGACCUGAGCCAAAAUCAUGAGUCUUAACGCUCAACUGACUGAGCCACCCAAGCACCCCUGCCCAGGAAUUAUUUCUGAUUAUAGAUAUUAGUUGCUUUUAUUUUUGUGACUUAAAAAAAUCUUAUAUAUAGGAUUAUAGAUUUUAAUUCUUAUUAAAAUCUUUGACUCCAAGUCAAGUCAUUUAAGUCUUGAAUUCAGGAAGAAUGACAUUAGAUAAUGUGUUUAAUUUUUUGUUGUUAUUGUUCUUUUUAGAUCAUCAGCUAUUAGAUUUUAAUUAAGCUGCUUUUUAUUUUAUUAUUUUUUAAAUGUUUAUUCGUUUUUGAGAAAGAGAGAAAGAGACAGAGCAUGAGCAGGGGAGGGGCAGAGAGAGAGGGAGACACAAAAUCGGAAACAGGCUCCAGGCUCUGAGCUGUCAGCAGAGUCUGACGGGGGGACAUGAACUAAGGAAAUGAGAGAUUAUGACCUGAGUCGAAGUCAGAUGCUUAACUACCUGAGCCACCUAGGUGCCCCUAAGCUACCUUUUAUUUUAAGGAUUAGUCUAAGACAUCUGGCUUUCAGUAUUGUUUCCAAUAUUAAAAUUCUGUGAUAAUUUCCAUCUUAUUGAUUUUUAUGGGUCAUGUAAUCAUAAGAUCAAUAAUAAUGAUGACAAUAAUAACUAAAGUUUUUGGACUAUCUAUGUGUCACGUACUGCACAGUGGCUUUUGACUGUAGUAUCUUGUUUAACGUAAAAUAGCCUACACAAAUUGCAUCCAUUCCAUCCAAAGAAGUUAACUGUAAUGCAACAUUCACUGAGCCUACCCUAAUAGGCCUGUGCUGGUCACCAAAAGGGGAGUGGAAGGUUACAACAUGCUUCCAUACAAAUUGGUUCCAAAGCUAAUGACCUUAUGACAUUUUCUGAUUUUAUCCUUUCUUUGCUUUCUUUGCUUAGAUGAAAAAACAAGUUUAGGGCAGUCAAGUGACUGUCUUAAGUUCACACAACAUUUAGGGACUGGAGGUAGGAGACAAGUUCAUUUUAGCACAUACACUUUCAGACUUUUGGACUUCUACAUAUUGUAAAAAAUAGCAUCAUGAUGUGCAUUCGACUUUGUAAUAUGAGUCAACCGUGUGUCUCACAUAUCUUUUCAUGUCAAUAAAUACUUUUCACACACAAAAAACCCUCUCAUGUAAUUCAUACACACAAAAAACUGUCAAUUUGAACACUUUUUUUUACAUGUUUAUCCACAAAUCUUUUAUGUUUUCAGUUAAAUCUUUUAAAAGUUGUUUGUUUGGGGGAUGCUUUUCCAAACAGGCCAAUAUUCUUGAGACCCUGAGACCUGUGAACAAAGUGCCUAGUUGAAUAAACUUGUAAUAUGUCAGGGUGAAUCACAGAGCUCAAGGACUUUUGUGGGGGAAUAUAUGAUUUACUCUGCAAAAAUGAGAGAUUAUCUAACAAUGUGCAAGAAUUGUUUAUACACAUGUAAGUGUCCAUUUCUAUACAUCACCUUAUGCUCCAAAAGGAGUCUUUCCUCCUAAGACAAACAAUUCUCUGCCCUCUGGCUUUAGCAAUCAGUCAGGGAAGAGUUACUCCCUUUUGGUCUGUUUCCAGUUAAUGGAGUUAAGGUUUGGGCUCUGGGCUAUGGAGGAGUUUCUUUUAGUAAAAUAGACUUCCCCUGGGAAGGAGUCUUUAGUGUACUUUAGAGAACAACUCCGUUGUCGAAGAGCACUUCCUUUAAAAGACACGCUGGGUGUUUUAAACACAUCAUUUAUAGAAUGUGUCUUCCUGAGGAUUCAGGAUAUUUAGCAAUUUUGCAUUGAUGAAUCUGAUGGGAGAGUCCCUGGUACCUCCGAGAUGGAUGGCUUGUGUAUACUUGCCAAAGAGUGAUACUACAUGACCUCAGAGGCAGAGAAGAGAAGGGACCUAACAGUGGUUCCUAACCGGGAUGGCACUUUACAUGAUGGAAGCAUCUGGCUAGGUGUUGGGAGAAAUCUCAUGCUAUUUCGAUAACUUGGGGUCUCCAAGUAUUUAUUGCCUAAGACCUAUUCUGCGUUAUAUCCGGCAGAUCUAUGUUGGCUAGAAUCAUUCCACUCAAAAUGCCAGCAGCAUUUCGUUGAAAAAUCUUGAAAGAUCCUAGAUUCUAUGAAGACAAGUGAAAAUUAAAAACAAGAAGCUUAGUUCUCCUUGUUGAAAACAAAGGAAGAGAUUUCCCUCGGUUCCUUUUCCUUAGAGUAUUGACUUUAGAAAAUUGUAACAUUAAGUACCUUCUCUUCUCUUUGAGAUGUAUACAAAUCCUUUGGAGGAUGAGGUAGGACUUUUGUCAGCCUUGUGAACCAAGAAGAUCUUUUUCAAGGAUCUAGGAAAAGGAGCCAUAACUUUGAAAUGUCACGUCAAGAGAGAUAUCACUCCUCUCUUAUAGUUUCUGUGGAGAUAUGUGCUUAACUUUGGGUGUCCGGCUCAAAGUUGCAACAUUUAUGACCUCCUGUCAUAAAUAUAUGAGAAGUAGUUUCUCCUUUGGAGAAAGCCAAUUAGUUAACACAGAUGGUCACCUCAAUUACCAAGCAAGUUUAGGAUGAACUAUGUAUGAAAAACUGUGCUGUCAAGUUCUCUCACUUGAGGGCUCGUUAUUAUUUUGCAAACAUGUACAUGAUGAGUUCUAUCUGCUUAGCUCUGUGAAAGAGUGAGAUUUCUUCCCGUUUGCAAUCUCUUAAUUGAAUGCUUGUGAUGUGUAUCACAUUCUGGCUUAAUGCCAUAAAAAUGCUUUCUUUCUCUAUUAUCUUUGCAGAGAGGAUAGAAGACAGAAGAUUUGUUUUUUUUAAUUAUAUUUUCCCAAUAGCUUCUACGGCAACGGGAAAACUAGAGUGUACUUAUCAUUCUUGUUAUGUGUUUAGGAAAGUAACAUAUGCGGGUUGCUGAGGUUUAUUUGGUCACUCACUUUUCCACUGAUCAAGGUGUUUUUACAAUACUACUAUUUUCCAGAUUAAAAACUUGUUUUAAUGUUUAUUCAUUUUUGAGAGAGAGAGAGAGAGAGAGCGCGCAAGCAGGGGAGGGGCAGAGAGAGAGGGAGACACAGAAUCUGAAGCAGGCUCCAGGCUCUGAGCUGUCAGCACAGAGUCUGACAUGGGGUUCAAACUCACAGACAGAGAGGUCAUGAGCUGAGAUGAAGUUGGAUGCUUAACUGACUGAGCCACCCAGGUGCCCCAGCGAUAACUUUUACUAAAAGAAAAAUUUUAUAAGGUGGAAUAGGUGGGCUCAUCAUGAAGAAAUUUUCACCAAUUUUCUCUUUCUUAUCAAUGGAAUCUUAAUUUUGUUGGAGGUCUCCAUAAACAUAUUUUUCUAGACUUCCUUUCAUUAAAAAAAAUUUUUUUUAACGUUUAUUUAUUAUUGAGACAGAGAGAGACAGAGCAUGAACGGGGUAGGGUCAGAGAGAGGGAGACACAAAAUCGGAAACAGGCUCCAGGCUCUGAGCUGUCAGCACAGAGCCCAACGCAGGGCUUGAACUCAUGACCACGAGACUCAUGACCUGAGCCAAAGUCGGCCGCUUAACCAACUGAGCCACCCAGGCGCCCCACUAGACUUCCUUUCAAAUAGAAGUGGCUAUGUGAUGAAAUUCUGAGCAAUGACAUUAAGGAGAAGCUAUUGAAUUGGAUUUAUGAGGAAGUUAUUUCAAACAGCUUUUGCCCUUCUUCCCUUUCUCCUUCAUUUCUAGUUGGCCUAGAAUGUGGAUGUGAUGACUAGAUGUCUAGCAGCCAUCUUGGGCAAAAAAGCAACUACAAGGAUGGAAACCAUUCACUGAUGAUGGUGGACUAGAAAGAUGAAAUUAUGUGAGGUGCCCUACAUACUUGCUUCCUGAUUUCUUUGAUGUGAAAGAAAUGUAAACCUCCAUCUUGUUUAGAAAUUUCUCUUUGCCACCAAACUUAAUCCUAAUUGAUUUAGGAAUCGUUCAUGCAUUUCCCUUUGAACAAAUUAAAUAUGAGGACACCCAGAUGUAGAUAUCAAGUGUAUAGUUAACACAUGCUUUGUAGGUUCUUCAAGUGCCAAGACACAGUGGGUGCUCAAAAAAUAUUUAUUUAAUGAACUGAAGAGAGAGCUCUGGAGGUAAGAAGUUUUUGAACGAUUGGCCAGUGUGUGGUGGUUGAAGAAUAACUCUCCCUAAUGGGGAUUAUGUAGAGUAAAAAGACAAUCAAGGAUGUUAUAAGGACUAAUAUACAGACAUUUAGUAAGAUGUAUUGAGUUUUCUCAUUCUUUAACAUAAACCUGUAUUUCCAUUUAUUCAAGCCUUCUUUUUUUUUAUUUAAAAAAAUUUUUUUUAACGUUUAUUUAUUUUUGAGACAGAGAGAGACAGAGCAUGAACAGGGGAGGGGCAGAGAGAGAGAGGGAGACACAGAAUCAGAAGCAGGCUCCAGGCUCUGAGCCAUCAGCCCAGAGCCCGACGUGGGGCUCGAACUCAUGGACCGUGAGAUCGUGACCUGAGCUGAAGUUGGACACUUAACCGACUGAGCCACCCAGGCGCCCCAUUCAAGCCUUCUUUAAUGUCUCUGGUAAGCUUAUAAUUUUAUCUGUACUGGUCUUGGAAAUUUAUUGUUGGGUUUAUGCCUAAGUAUGUUGUACUUUUUAUUACUAUUAUGAGUUAAAUUUUUGAAAAAAAUCUUUUUUUUUUCUUUCAAAAAUGUUUUUUAAAUGUUUAUAUGUCUUUAAGAGAGAGAGAGAGAGAGAGAGACAGAGACAAAGCAGGGGAAGGGCAGAGAGAGAGGGAAACAUAGAAUUUGAAGCAGGGUCCAGGCUCUGAGCUGUUGGCACAGAGCCUGACGCAGGGCUCAAACUCAUGAAGCAUGAGAUCAUGACCUGAGCUGAAGUUGGAUGCUUAACGACUGAGCCACCCAGGUGCCCCUUUUCUUUCUUUAAUGUUUAUUUUUGACAGAGAGAGAGAGAGAGAGAGAGAGAGAGAGACACCAAGCAGGGGAGGGGCAGAGAUAGGACAGAUGAUCUGAAGUGGGCUAUGUGCUGACAGCAGAGAGCCCAUGUGGGGCUCAGACUUACAAAGCGUGAGACCAUGACCUGAGCCGAAAUUGGCCGCUUACCCACUGAGCCACCUAAGCGCCUCAAAAAAAUUAAGUUUUUCUUUUUUUUUUUUUUUUAAAUUUUUUUUUUCAACGUUUAUUUAUUUUUGGGACAGAGAGAGAGACAGAGCAUGAACGGGCGAGGGGCAGAGAGAGAGGGAGACACAGAAUCGGACACAGGCUCCAGGCUCUGAGCCAUCAGCUCAGAGCCCGACGCGGGGCUCGAACUCACGGACCAUGAGAUCGUGACCUGGCUGAAGUCGGACGCUUAACCGACUGCGCCACCCAGGCGCCCCAAAAUUAAGUUUUUCAAUGAGACACUGAUCGUGUUUUGAAAACUAUGGAAGCUUCUGUGUUGAUCUUGUGUCUAACCACCUCUGCCAGACUGAAAUUUCUCAGUUGAUUUUCUAAAUUGAUAAUAUCACUUCAAAUAAUAAUAGUUUCAUCUCUUUCAUUUUCAUUUCUUCUCUCUUAUUUCAUGGGCCAGCAUCUCUAAUACAAUGAUGUAUUGUAGUGCAAAGAGCAGCCAAACUUGUCUUAUUUACUUGAACAUUUAAUUGAAAUGCUUCUAACAUCUCAUUAUUAAGCAUGAUUUUCAUUAAGGCAUUUUGAAAAAAAAAAACAUGCUUUAUCAAGUUAGAAAAUUGCCCCCCCCCUUUUUUUUGGCCAAUGAGCAAUACUUCCAGUCCACAUCCUGGAUCAGUUUCCUAUUUCCAUCACUUCCAGUCAUAUAGCACCUUUGAUAUGGCUCAUAUAUCCCAGAGAUAUACCUAAUUUUGUGCACCUAGUAUGCAAGCCCUCUCUUCAAUGCUUCAGGUAUUUUGUUAAUUCCUCACAUACAUUUUCUGUUCUGCUGAGAGUUUUUUUAAUUUUAGAGCAUGACUAUAUAUUUAUUAUCAUAUUAUGGUAUCUUUUAUAAUAUUUCUGGGAACAUGAUGCAGGAAGGGAACAUUGAGGUGUGCAUUAAUUUGGAAAUGUUGACAACUGACAGUCUGCAUGAGCAUAGUAAAUAUUUAUAAGAAUUUAAAAGAGUUCAGAGGAUUUAUUUAAGACUUUAUAAACUUGAUCAACUUUAAAACUUGAUCAACUUUAAAAACUUGAACAUUAAUUGUUAAAUACUUGCCUUCUAUAUGAACUUUGUGUAAUAUAUCAACUGUUUUAAAAACAAUGUAUUUUUAAAUAGUACUUCAAUAGUUAUUGACAUAAAAAUUCAAUAUGUGUUUUGUAAUUUUUUUCUUAUAUCAAAACUUUGGAGUUUUAAAAAGUAUAUAGAGGGGCGCCUGGGUGGCGCAGUCGGUUGAGCGUCCGACUUCAGCCAGGUCACGAUCUCGCGGUCCGUGAGUUCGAGCCCCGCGUCGGGCUCUGGGCUGAUGGCUCAGAGCCUGGAGCCUGUUUCCGAUGCUGUGUCUCCCUCUCUCUCUGCCCCUCCCCCGUUCAUGCUCUGUCUCUCUCUGUCCCAAAAAUAAAUAAACGUUGAAAAAAAAAUUUUUUUAAAGUAUAUAGAUUUCUUAAUUAUGUUUGUCCUUUCAAAUGAAUGGUGUCUUUCAAAUGGCUGAUUUCUCAUUUUUUCCAUACCAUGGUUAAUAUAAACUGAAUAAUAGUAAUUGUUGGAAGUUGUUGAGAUUUCAUUUGUGGUCUAGUAUUUUAUCAAUUGUUGUAAAUGUUCCUUUCAUUGGUGUUUAAGAAAGGAUGACUGUUAAAUCAAGUAUAUUGGUUGUUAAUAAUUUUCUCUAUAGUAACUCUGUUUUUGUCUGCUUGAUAUUUUGAGAAGUUAAGCUCUGUUCUACUAAUAGUAAACUUCUCAAAUUCUCCUAUAAGUUCUAUCAAUUUGCUAUGCUUAGAUUGAAGUUGUGUUAUUAGGUGUACAAAUAUUCAUGAUAUAUAUUAAUCUUAGGUUUGAAAAUUUUAUUACUGUAAAUUUCCAGUACUUUUUCUUUGAUUCUUAUUUGAUUUUAAAAUUCUUUGCCAUUCUUCUUUACAUUAACGUUUUUAUGUUCUUUCUUUUCCUGUCCUUUUAUUUUUUAACUUUUCUAUACCAAUUUGGUUUCUUAUUUAUAGAGAGAACUUGCCUUGAUUUUUAAAAAUGUUACCUAAUAGUCAGUGUUAUAAUAAGAAAGUUUAUCUAUUUAUAUUUAUUUUCAUUACUGCUAUGUUUCUAGCUAUUUAAAUCAUUUUAUUUUAUGUUUUACAAUGUAAACUUUUCCUAUUUUUCUAUCCUGACUUUAAAUGGGAUAAUUAAGUUUUCCUUGUUCUCCUUUUUCCUCUGCUGGAUAUAUAUUAUACUAAACAUACAUUUUGUUCUCAAAAUAUUUAGAAUAAAACCCUUAUCACAAAGUAAAAGUUUAACAUGUCUUACUUCCUUUUGUACUUCACUUCCACUUCCUUUCUGUCUUCAAACUUACAUUUUGAUACAACUUGGACUUUUAGAUACAGAUUUUUUAAAAAAGAUCAAUGAAUUUUGAUAAUAAUGUUUUACUCAUUUUUUCCUCUUCAUUAUUUGUUGUAUUCUAUUCUUCUUAGAGUGAUUUUUCUUGUCAUAAAACAUUUUCUAGUAACUUUCCUAAAGAUAAAUGAUGAGUAUUAAAUAGUACUUCAAUGCUUGAAAAUGUGUUUUAUUUUGAAUAAAAUAUAGAUCUCUGAGUUUAUAGGUAUGGUAGACUGCAAAAAUGGCCCUGAUUCUUUACUCAUCCCUGAAUCUGUGGCUUGAUUCUGGGCUUGGGUCACAUGACUUGCUUCAGCAAAUAGGAUGUUAGUGAAUACAACACAAGCAGAAUAUUGUUUUAUUGCUCUUGUAUGCAGCCAUUGUCUGGAACCAACCUAGCCCAGUUAUCCCAUAGGAAGCCACCCUAGAUUAGCCAUACAUAAGGAUGAGCCUGACUGAGACCAGAAAAAUCACUGAACAGAGUUGAGCCUCAAUGGCUAAUUUGCAGGCUGAUGAGCUAAAUAAAUCAGUAUUGUUUCAAGACUCUGUUUUGGAGUGGCAUUUUUGUGUCAGUAGAUGACUGACAAAACAGGUGUCUUUGCCACUUGGAAGAUAUUGUUCCAUCCUAAAUAUGGUAGAACUGUUGAUAAGUAUAAUAGAAAUGUGAUUGCUUUUCUUUUAAACACUCUGUAGAUAAAAACUUUCUGGACUUUUCCUUUGCCAAGAUGUUCAGAAGUAUAUAAUAUAUCUAUAUAUCUGUAUCUAUGAACAUAUAUACAUACACACACUCACACUAUAUCUAUAUCUAUAAAACUAAUAUUUUCACUGGAUGCAUUUAUAAGCAUGUUAAUGCAAAGAAAAAUAUAUGCACGAAUACUGGGAUACAGAUAGAGGAAAAGGGAAUAUUGUUUUCAACUCAGCGCUUCAGACUUGUACUGAAUGAGCAGUCAAGAUGGAACUGGAAGAGUUGAGUUAGGGCAAUGGCAGAAUACUGAAGUCUACUGCUGUAAUACAAAUUCCUAGACUGGAGUGAAGAUCUAAGGUUCACGGUAUCAUAUGCUUCUUGGCUUUGGGUAUCUGCCUAUAGGAUUACCAUGUUGGGGCUGAUAAACCCAGAGCCCAAAAACACAUUUUUUUUAUAAGACUCUACCCAGAGUCCCCAAAUCUGUAACAAUAGGAAGGGGUUGCUAAUGUUAAGAGAAAUUCUCCCCCAUGCCUUUCUCACAAGUGAUCUUCAAGAACAAAUGUAGGGAUGAUCAAUCAUUCCAGAGAGCAAAACUAAGGACGUUUUUCCUUUGGUGGACCUUAUUUGUAGCUUCCUUUUCUCUGCUGAGUGAGUUACUAGAUCUGUACCCACUUUCUAUCCUCAAAACCUUUUUGACAUUCUAAGUAAUUCAAAGAACCAGUUACCAGAAUUGCUAGAAUAUGUGUUCCAUCAAAAGGACAAAUGAAUCUUAGAUUAUUUAAAAAUUAAACAACAAACAAAGCAAAACAGUUAUCUCAGUUUCUGCCUUUUGUUAAAAAGUUGAAUUCAUGGUAUUUUUCUUGCUCUUUCUUUUAUUUUAUUGUUUUUUUUUUUUUACCUCUAUAUCUGUAUCUCUAUACAUCUGUUCUACUGAAGUUCUAGGAGUAAGAAAAAAGUUGUAGUACACUACUUAUCCCAACAACAUUUAUAGCUAGUUACCAUGUUAGCCCUGACUAUGACCCCAUUGGUGUGAUGGGGGAAGGGGAAUAAAGUGAGAUAGACCAUAUCAAAGAAUCCAAAAAUCAUGAUAAAACUGAUAAAUUUCAGGUGGCAAUAUAUUCACAUAUUUAGGAAUGCAGAAGGAAAAAAAAAAAAAAGAAAUGGCUCAAGAGUUGAAAAUGGCAGUAAGCAGAACUGUUUUUUCCGGACGUAUCUUUUGGUAGUAUUUGAUUUUUGAAAACCAUGUACACCCAUGAAACAUUUGUAACUAGUUUUGAAAAUAAAACAUAUAUCUUUGAUAUUAUUCUAUUGUCUAUAUAAUGGAAAGCUAUUUUCAAAGAUAUAACAGAGAGGAAUAUAAAGGAACUAUAGGAAUUAGUGUCUGAGUCCUUUCAAGAAGACGGUGCCAAAAGCAAAGAAGGAAGCCCCUGCCCCUCCCAAAGCCACAGCCAAAGCAGAGGCUUUGAAGGCCAAGAAAGCAAUGCUGAAAGGGGUCCCAGAGUCACAGAAAAAAGAAGAUCUGCGUGUCACCUACCUUCCCAUGGCCCACAACACUGUAUCUCCAAAGGCAGCCCAAAUAUCCGUGAAAGAGUGCCCCCGGGGGAAACAAGCUUGACCACCAUGCUGUCAUCAAGAUUCCCCUGACUCCAGAGUCGGGUGUAAAGAAACUAGAUGACAACAACACACUUGAGUUCACUGUGGAUGUCAAGGCCAACAAGCACCAGAUCAAACAGGCUGUGAAGAAGCUUUAUGACAUGGAUGUGGCCAAGGUCAACACCCUGAUUAGGCCUCGUGGGGAGAAAGAGGUGUAUGUUCUACUGACUCCUGAUUGUGAUGCUUGGGAUGUUGCUAACCAAAUCGGGAUCAUCUAAACGAAGCCCAGUUGGCUACAUAUCAAUAUACAUUUUUCCACCAUAAAAAAAAAGAAU
rnacentral:lncRNA from 1 species